GGCCUGGUGGUGUAUUGGUAACACAUCCUUUCUUGAUGAUGUUUUCUCCACAAUGUAGGAGGAAAUAUCCUGUUCGAUUCGGGGCUGGGCCA